rnacentral:rRNA from 1 species
UACGCACGCUGGCGGCGUGCCUAAUACAUGCAAGUAGAACGCACAGUUUAUACCGUAGCUUGCUACACCAUAGACUGUGAGUUGCGAACGGGUGAGUAACGCGUAGGUAACCUGCCUGGUAGCGGGGGAUAACUAUUGGAAACGAUAGCUAAUACCGCAUAAUAUUGAUUAUUGCAUGAUAAUUGAUUGAAAGAUGCUAUUGCAUCACUACCAGAUGGACCUGCGUUGUAUUAGCUAGUAGGUGAGGUAACGGCUCACCUAGGCGACGAUACAUAGCCGACCUGAGAGGGUGAUCGGCCACACUGGGACUGAGACACGGCCCAGACUCCUACGGGAGGCAGCAGUAGGGAAUCUUCGGCAAUGGACGAAAGUCUGACCGAGCAACGCCGCGUGAGUGAAGAAUGUUGUCGGAUCGUAUAGCUCUGUUGUAAGAGAAGAACGGGUGUGAGAGUGGAAAGUUCACACUGUGACGGUAUCUGACCAGAAAGGGACGGCUAACUACGUG